AGAGUUUGAUCCUGGCUCAGGACGAACGCUGGCGGUAUGCUUAAGACAUGCAAGUCGCACGGACCCGCAAGGGUCAGUGGCGGACGGGUGAGUAACACGUGGAUAACCUACCUCGCUAAUCGGGACAACGGACCGAAAGGUCCGCUAAUACCGGAUAAGCUCACGGCGCUGCAUGGCGCUGGGAGAAAAGGUCCUGCAAGGGGCCGCAGCGAGAGGGGUCCGCGGUCCAUUAGCUAGUUGGGGGGGUAACGGCCCACCAAGGCGACGAUGGAUAGCCGGCCUGAGAGGGCGACCGGCCACACUGGGACUGAGACACGGCCCAGACUCCUACGGGAGGCAGCAGUCGGGAAUUUUGGGCAAUGGCCGCAAGGGCUGACCCAGCAAUACCGCGUGAGUGAAGAAGGCCUUCGGGUUGUAAAGCUCUGUUGCCCGUGAAGAACGGUACUGUGAGGAAAUGCGCAGUACUUGACGGUAGCGGGAGAGGAAGCUCCGGCUAACUACGUGCCAGCAGCCGCGGUAAUACGUAGGGAGCGAGCGUUGUCCGGAUUUAUUGGGCGUAAAGGGCGUGUAGGCGGCUUGUUAAGUCUGAGGUGAAAAUCCAGGGCUCAACCCUGGAACUGCCUCGGAUACUGGCGAGCUUGAGUGCUCUAGAGGGCAGUGGAAUUCCGGGUGUAGCAGUGAAAUGCGUAGAGAUCCGGAGGAACACCAGUGGCGAAGGCGACUGCCUGGGGAGUAACUGACGCUGAGGCGCGAAAGCUGGGGGAGCAAACGGGAUUAGAUACCCCGGUAGUCCCAGCCGUAAACGAUGAGUGCUAGGUGUAGGGGGUAUCGACCCCCCCUGUGCCGCAGUUAACGCAAUAAGCACUCCGCCUGGGGAGUACGGCCGCAAGGUUGAAACUCAAAUGAAUUGACGG
rnacentral:rRNA from 1 species